rnacentral:rRNA from 1 species
CGCUGGCGGCAGGCCUAACACAUGCAAGUCGAGCGGCAGCACGGGUACUUGUACCUGGUGGCGAGCGGCGGACGGGUGAGUAAUGCCUAGGAAUCUGCCUAGUAGUGGGGGAUAACGUUCGGAAACGGACGCUAAUACCGCAUACGUCCUACGGGAGAAAGUGGGGGAUCUUCGGACCUCACGCUAUUAGAUGAGCCUAGGUCGGAUUAGCUAGUUGGUAGGGUAAAGGCCUACCAAGGCUACGAUCCGUAACUGGUCUGAGAGGAUGAUCAGUCACACUGGAACUGAGACACGGUCCAGACUCCUACGGGAGGCAGCAGUGGGGAAUAUUGGACAAUGGGCGAAAGCCUGAUCCAGCCAUGCCGCGUGUGUGAAGAAGGUCUUCGGAUUGUAAAGCACUUUAAGUUGGGAGGAAGGGCAGUAAGCUAAUAUCUUGCUGUUUUGACGUUACCGACAGAAUAAGCACCGGCUAACUCUGUGCCAGCAGCCGCGGUAAUACAGAGGGUGCAAGCGUUAAUCGGAAUUACUGGGCGUAAAGCGCGCGUAGGUGGUUGGUUAAGUUGAAUGUGAAAUCCCCG